AUUGAACGCUGGCGGCAGGCCUAACACAUGCAAGUCGAACGAGUGGCGGAGGGGUGAGUAAUGUCUGGGAAACUGCCCGAUGGAGGGGGAUAACUACUGGAAACGGUAGCUAAUACCGCAUACCAUCGGAUGUGCCCAGAUGGGAUUAGCUAGUAGGUGGGGUAACGGCUCACCUAGGCGACGAUCCCUAGCUGGUCUGAGAGGAUGACCAUCCACCCUGGAACUGGGACACGGUCCCGACUCCUACGGGUGGCAGCUGUGUGGAAUAUUGCACAAUGGGCGAAAGCCUGAUGCAGCCAUGCCGCGUGUAUGAAGAAGGCCUUCGGGUUGUAAAGUACUUUCAGCGAGGAGGCGUUACUCGCAGAAGAAGCACCGGCUAACUCCGUGCCAGCCGCCGCGGUAAUAC
rnacentral:rRNA from 1 species